rnacentral:pre_miRNA from 1 species
CGGGGGAGGCUGGAUCCUGGGCUGUGUCCUGGCGCCCUGUGCUCUGGGGCCUGCGCUGUUGGAUUUACCCUCCCGGCCGCACAGCCGCCU